CGGGGUGCAGCAGGCGCGAAAACUUUACAAUGCCGGCAACAGCGAUAAGGGGACCUCGAGUGCCAGGUUACAAAUCUGGCUGUCGUGAUGCCUAAAAAGCAUUGCAUAGCAAGGGCCGGGCAAGACCGGUGCCAGCCGCCGCGGUAACACCGGCGGCUCGAGUGGUAACCGUUAUUAUUGGGUCUAAAGGGUCUGUAGCCGGCCGGAUAAGUCUCUUGGGAAAUCCAGCAGCUCAACUGUCAGGCUUUCAGGAGAUACUGUCUGGCUCGAGGCCGGGAGAGGUGAGAGGUACUUCAGGGGUAGGGGUGAAAUCUUGUAAUCCUUGAAGGACCACCAGUGGCGAAGGCGUCUCACCAGAACGGACCUGACGGCAAGGGACGAAAGCUAGGGGCACGAACCGGAUUAGAUACCCGGGUAGUCCUAGCCGUAAACGAUACUCGCUAGGUGUCGGCCACGGUGCGACCGUGGUCGGUGCCGUAGGGAAGCCGUGAAGCGAGCCACCUGGGAAGUACGGCCGCAAGGCUGAAACUUAAAGGAAUUGGCGGGG
rnacentral:rRNA from 1 species